rnacentral:rRNA from 1 species
CAAUAGCGUAUAUUAAAGUUGUUGCAGUUAAAAAGCUCGUAGUUGGAUUUCUGGUGGGAGCGAUCGGUCUGGCGCUUAGCGCGAGUACUUGCAUCGUCUCCGGCCAUCCUUGGGGAGAGUCUGUCUGGCAUUAAGUUGUCGGGCAGAGGAUCCUCAUCGUUUACUGUGAAAAAAUUAGAGUGUUCAAAGCAGGCUUAUGCCGUUGAAUAUAUUAGCAUGGAAUAAUAAGAUAGGACUUUGGUACUAUUUUGUUGGUUUGCGCACCAAAGUAAUGAUUAAUAGGGACAGUUGGGGGUAUUCGAAUUCCGUUGUCAGAGGUGAAAUUCUUGGAUUUACGGAAGACGAACUACUGCGAAAGCAUUUACCAAGGAUGUUUUCAUUAA